rnacentral:siRNA from 1 species
UAUGCCAGGUUCACUAAACUCA